UACGGGGGGGGCAAGCGUUGUUCGGAAUUACUGGGCGUAAAGGGCUCGUAGGCGGCCAACUAAGUCCGACGUGAAAUCCCCAGGCUUAACCUGGGAACUGCGUCGGAUACUGGAUGGCUUGAAUUCGGGAGAGGGAUGCGGAAUUCCAGGUGUAGCGGUGAAAUGCGUAGAUAUCUGGAGGAAUACCGGUGGCGAAGGCGGCAUCCUGGACCGACAUUGACGCUGAGGAGCGAAAGCCAGGGGAGCGAACAGG
rnacentral:rRNA from 1 species